AUCCUAUAGCUACUUUUGAAGGUCAGAGAACUUCUGCGACCAGUCUCGAUCACGGUCGGCUUGGACUGUGAGCUAGGACGAGCUCCCUUCCAACUGAUCGAUCUUCUCCCGUGCGGCCGUCAGCUCGACUUCAAGGGAGCUAAUCUUGAAAGCCUGAGCCCAAGAUCGAUCACUGGCACAUUUUCGGAGUUCCUCGAGCUCCGUCACGAAGUCAGCCUUCUUUCGGGUGA
rnacentral:lncRNA from 1 species